CUCCGUCUGGCCGAUCCGAUCCGUCUGACGAUCGGUCUGGCCGAUCCGAUCCAACGAUCGGUCGACCCGAUCCGAUUCGUCUCUAAGACGAACGGUCUACCCUCUCCAUCCUCUACACUCCAUCGAACCGUUGGACCGGGAGGUAGCAUGCGCAUCAGUUCGGUCGAGUUAUACUCGCCGAGCCGCACCCCCUUUCCGACCAACAACUCUAGGAUGUGUUAGGACUCCUUUAAGAAUGUUUUAUGGUGUUUUGGAUGUUGUGAGAUGAUGUGAGAUUAUUCCAAAGGCCUUGGGCGUCCUCCCUUAUAUAGGGGGCGAAUGGAUGCUUCCCGAAGCAUCACAUCCGUUCCUUGCACCACUCCGAAAGGUCACAUCCGUUCCUUGCACCCUUCCAAAAGGUCACAUCCGUUCCUUCCAAAAGGUCACAACCGUUCGUUGGUACCCGCUCGACCUUACACCUUUUGGCCGAGACACCUUUUCACCCGUGAGCUACCACAGUCCACCAGCUCGAGUGUCAGCUGACCAGACCACCCAGCUGGGUCAGUACACGAUCAGCUCACCGAGCUCAGUCGAGCUGUCUGUCAGCUCACCUAGCUGAGCUAGCUAGUCUUCCAGCUGGUUUAGCUCACCUAGCUUAGCUAGCUAGUUCAUCCUAGCUUGUCCAGCUCACCUAGCUGGUUCAGCUUUGAACUUUCUCGUUCUUCUGACUAAGUAUUUUAGUCCGUUUCUUGACCAUGGUCUAGUUUUCUCCUAAAACAACCUCACCUCUUUAUGAACGCGGGACGUGGUCGUUUCAAGUCUACCCCCCUUAAACUGAAUUCGUCCUCGAAUUCGGCGUGUGUAAGAUCUUGCUUACUCCCUAACUCGGGAAACGGGCGUUACACUUUGGUU
rnacentral:sRNA from 1 species